rnacentral:rRNA from 1 species
AGGCGGAUUGUUAAGUCAGAUGUGAAAUCCCGGGGCUCAACCUCGGAACAGCAUUUGAAACUACCGAUCUGGAGGGUAGGCGGAGAAAACGGAAUCCACAAGUAGCGGUGAAAUGCGUAGAUAUGUGGAAGAACACCGGUGGCGAAGGCGGUUUUCUAGCUUACUCCUGACGCUGAGGCGCGAAAGCAAGGGGAUCAAACAGGAUUAGAUACCCUGGUAGUCCUUGCCGUAAACGAUGUAUACUUGGUGUAACCGGACUCAACCCUGGUUGUGCCGAAGCUAACGCGAUAAGUAUACCGCCUGGGGAGUACGCUCGCAAGGGUGAAACUCAAAAGAAUUGACGGGGACCCGCACAAGCAGUGGAGCAUGUGGUUUAAUUCGAUGCAACGCGAAGAACCUUACCCAGACUUGACAUUCAGUGGAAGUUAGCAGAGAUGUUAACGCCUUUCGGGGCCGCUGAACAGGUGCUGCAUGGCUGUCGUCAGCUCGUGCCGUGAGGUGUUGGGUUAAGUCCCGCAACGAGCGCAACCCUUAUCGUUAGUUGCCAACAGGUAAUGCUGGGAACUCUAGCGAGACUGCCUGGGUUAACCAGGAGGAAGGUGAGGAUGACGUCAAGUCCGCAUGGCCCUUAUGUCUGGGGCUACACACGUGCUACAAUGGUCGGUACAGAAGGCAGCGAAACCGCAAGGCGGAGCAAAUCCCUAAAACCGGCCCCAGUUCAGAUUGUAGUCUGCAACUCGACUACAUGAAGA